rnacentral:siRNA from 1 species
UUGGACUGAAGGGAGCUCCCUC